CUUUUGGUUUUGAGUUAUAAGCCAAAAACUGCAUUUUACCCCUAUGUUCUAUUUUUAGCCAUGGCGGCCAUCUUGGAUUCAUCUGAAAAGUUCAGGGCAGAUAGAUCUUGACCUGAUGAACAAUACUACUCCAUGUCAGAUUGCUCUAAAUGCUUUGGUUUUUGAGUUAUAAGCUAAAAAACUGCAUUUUACCCCUAUGUUCUAUUUUUAACCAUGGCGGCCAUCUUAGUUGGUUGGGUGGGGCACCAGACACAUUUUUUAAACUAGAUACCCCAAUUAUGAUUGUGGCUAAGUUUGGUUAAAUUUGGCCCAGUAGUUUCAGAGGAGAAGAUUUUUGUAAAAGUUAACGCAGGACAACGACAACGACGGACGACGACGGACGCCGGACGCCAAGUGAUGAGAAAAGCUCACUUGGCCUUCCGGCCAGGUGAGCUAAAAAUAUCAUGUUAAUUUUUACCUGGAUAAGUUUUACUCAGAAUUUUUGAGUUCAUUUCCAGUAUCAUACAGAUACAAAUAUGGAUACCUAGGAUAACUGUCUGCUGAAUGUUUAAAGUGCAGUAUGUUCACCAAAAAAUAUUCGUAAAUUAUGGCACUUCAAUAAAUAAAUAUGACAUAUGAAAUAAAUUGAUAUUUUCCAUCAUCAGAGUAAAACUGUUUUCCAUUGUCAUAUUCUGACUAGCUUGAAAAAUUAAAGAAAUAAUAAUGUCAAGGUACCCCCCUUCCCCCUAUGGAGAGAUAAAAUGUAUUUGAAAGGUAAAAUAACAGCCACUAAUUUGUUCAUGGGCAAAAAGAACUAGAGGCUCUAAAGAGCCUGUGUCGCUCACCUUGGUCUAUGUGCAUAUCAAACAAAGGACACAAAUGGAUUCAUGACAAAAUUGUAUUUUGGUAAUGGUGAUGUGUUUGAAGUUCUUACUUUACUGAACGAUUUUGCUUCUUACAAUUAUAUCUAUAAUGAACUUUGCCCAUUAGUAACAGAGACUAUAUUUGGUAAAAAAUUUACAUAAAUUUACCAAAUUAAUGAAAAUUGUUAAAAAUUGACUAUAAAGGGG
rnacentral:lncRNA from 1 species